GAGCCUCCGGGGUCAGGUUUGGGUGCCUGCAGCUUUAAGUUACAACCUAUCUUGUACUUCUCCCCGGUGUGCAGGUUGAAUCUUAUCACAAGUGUCACCUGUGGGGAUUUAGGGAGGCGCUGGGACCAGUUCCGUAAGCAAGUAUCACCGGAGAGCGGGGUCUUCCGUCCCAGGACCCCGGUGCCAGUGUGACCGACGUGUGGGGCCCAGCAGUGAACUGACAGGGGCGUGGGCGUGGUCAGCAGGGCCGGGUGUGGGUGUGGGGCCGUCCACCCCGAACGCUGCGGCCGGGCCGUGGGGGCUCCUGACACCUGCAGGGCUUGCGAGGGCCCUGCUUUCUGACGGGCUGGGAGAUGCGGCCACCCCCAUCAGCAAGUGUGCCCUCGGAGGCUUCAUUCGACUCCGUUGCUUUUCCUUCACAAGGAGUAAGUCUCAGCAAACUGACUAAUGGAUCAUUCCCACCACUGUAAUUUCAGCCACUCCCAGGGAGCUGGAGGGAAAGUACUCAGCGUGUCGUUUUGAACAGUUCUCUACCCCAGGCCCUCGAUGUUCAGCAUUUGCUAAUUUCAGAAACCACUGCAUUUAACUUCUUGGAAGACCAGCUAAUUCUCCAUUCUUUGUGUUAUUGGAGAGUUGAAGUAGUCAAAACACAAAACAAGAAGUCAUACGACUGGUUUUUCUGUGGCCAAAUAUCAAAAGACAGAAGCAGAACAGUUUCAUGCCUAAGAACUUCAUGACGCAGACUCAGAAUCAAGUUUGGAUUUCAUCUGCUUCAGGGUCCCAGAACCACGCUGGUGCCUGUGGCUGCUAGAAUGACAACCACAUUCUCUUCUUUCACGUAGAAGAGGAAGGGAGCAGUUGAAAUUCUUCCUUUGCCUGUGAAAGCGAAACCUUCAGGGAGAUGUUCACUGUGGUACCAAGGAGUCAAACUCAUGGCGAAGCUGUCUUAGAGAGAAAUCUUCCUUAGGAAGCAGGCUUUCCACCUACAGGGUGAAGCUCUGGCUUCUCAGGGUGUGAUCUUUGGGCCUGCAGUCUGGGCAUCCCUGAAGCUGGUUGAAAAUGCAGACUCUCAGGCCCACCCCCAACUGCCUGGAUCAGAGUCUGCAUUGUAACAAGAUCUCCA